rnacentral:rRNA from 1 species
UGGGGAAUCUUGCACAAUGGGGGCAACCCUGAUGCAGCGACGCCGCGUGAGCGAUGAAGACCUUCGGGGCGUAAAGCUCUUUCGACCGGAACGAUAAUGACGGUACCGGGAGAAGAAGCUGCGGCUAACUACGUGCCAGCAGCCGCGGUAAUACGUAGGCAGCAAGCGUUGUUCGGAGUUACUGGGCGUAAAGAGUGCGUAGGCGGUUUUCUAAGUUCGGUGUGAAAUCUCCCGGCUUAACUGGGAGGGUGCGCCGAAGACUGGGAAGCUGGAGUGUGGGAAAGGCAGGCGGAAUUCCUGGUGUAGCGGUGAAAUGCGUAGAUAUCAGGAGGAACACCGGCGGUGUAGACGGCUUGCUAGACCAUAACUGACGCUGAGGCACGAAAGCGUGGGUAGCAAACA